rnacentral:rRNA from 1 species
CAGCAGCCGCGGUAAUACGUAGGUGGCAAGCGUUGUCCGGAAUUAUUGGGCGUAAAGCGCGCGCAGGCGGUUUCUUAAGUCUGAUGUGAAAGCCCCCGGCUUAACUAGGGAGGGUCAUUGGAAACUGGGAGACUUAGAGUGCAGGAGAGGAGAGUGGAAUUCCAUGUGUAGCGGUGAAAUGCGUAGAUAUAUGGAGGAACACCAGUGGCGAAGGCGACUCUCUGGUCUGUAACUGACGCUGAGGCGCGAAAGCGUGGGGAGCAAACAGGAUUAGAUACCCCAGUAGUCCCUGUCUCUUAUU